rnacentral:lncRNA from 8 species
AUAUUCAUUGUUGAAGUAUCCAGCAGCAAAGACAGAUGAUGGGGAAAGAGAACCAACAUAGACCAUUAACCAUGAGCUAUAGAGACGCCCUUCAAACGCAAUCUAACACAGUAAGGACUUCUGCUAGACCAGCAGCCUCUACUACUGCCCAGAAUAGUUACCUGACUAGACUGAGGAGCAGCCUGCAUGACCUGAUGAACCAGCACCCAGAGGGAGUACCUCUUGGCCUCCCUCCCCGAUGUGGUGAGGCUUCAGGGGAUCGGGGUACAGACACUGGUGCUCCCAGCACUAGGCCAUUGUGGAGGUGGGACGGAUGCCGGUCGUGUUGGUUGUCGCUAGCCUUCUUGACCUAUGCCAAGCAGGGACCAGGCCGUCCGCAAAGAGACCGAUUUCAAGAUUCCAAUCAAAGUCAAGCCAACGGAAGAACCUCAAAUGUACACGGCCCAUAA